AUAUCAGUACGAGUACUCUGUUUUUCAGACGGAAAAACAGCAGGGUCCGUCUUGCCGUAUUCAAAAUUACUCUUAAACGAUUGCGAAUUUGAGAAAAUGUUUAACGUGACUAAGUUUCGCAUUUCCGGUAGCUUUUUAAUGGUAUAUUAUUUGCACCAUUUCAAUAAACUUUUUAACAAAAUCACGUUCAAAACCAACUUUAACCGUAUUUGAGUUCGUAUUUAAACCGUAAGAAAUUAGAAAAAACUUUCUAUACACAAAAGUUGCGCAUUUUCCAUAGCUUUCCAAAGCCGUAUCGUGUGCGUCAAUCCGACAAAACGUUUGCAAAAAACAGCAAAAAUAUUUUUCGCCCAGAAUUUCACCAUUUUUCAAAUUACUUUUAAAUCAUAUAGAAUUUGGAAAAAUAGUAGAUAUACGGAAGAUGCGGAUUUUCACAAGCUUUCCAACGCCGUCUCAUUUGCUCAAUUUCGACAAACCGUUCGAAAAUUAAGUCCAAAAUACGAUUUGCGUUUUCGGUUUUGAAAAAAACGGUUUUUUCAAGUGCUCUUAAACCAUAAUUUUUUUGCAAAAACAAAUUAUAAAAUUGUAAUGUAGAUGUCAAGUGCUUUCCAACGAUAUAUUACACACCCCGUUUCGACAAAAAAAUUGCAAAAAGAAUUGAACUAAAGAAGAUGAUUUUUAACAGAAAUAGAAAGCAUUAGUUGAAGCGCUCAAAUUUCAUCAGUUCAGCCGCUUGAAUUCAUCAGUUCAUGAAGUGUAACAGAAUAAUAUUCUGUUACAUUUAACAGAAUAGCCCAGAUGUAUAUAUAAAACCCAGGGUGAAGAAUAAGCUAUCGUUCACCCCGGUCGAACGACCCAGCCAGCCCGCAACUUUUCCAUCACAGCCGCCCGCACCGCGCUCUCCAGCCCAGGUAAUUUAUUCCCUACCAACUGUUUUUUUCCGAUGGGCUUUAGCAAUUUAGGAGCGGACCCCACUCCCCGCAAUUUCUGAAACUAGUGGGAGCGGAAGCGGCGAGCGGUUCGGCGGCGGUAGGUUUCGGCGGCGUGCCGACGGCAGCUGCGGGUGGAUUUGGGUGUGUGCGACUCUGGGGGUAGCCCCCUUUGGCUGGUUGCAGCGUCAAGGCGAGCAGCGUUUCGAGAGGCCUCGUCGGCCGGCGGCUGUGCCACGACCCGCCUCCACCCUCCGUUUCGUCGUUGCGCCGGCGAUGGCCCGGCCUGCUUUUCCAUUCCCCGCCCCCGAGCUCCUGCCAUAUCCUGUCAUCAUCACACCAGCGCCGGAACCCAUCCCUUCAUCCUUUUUGGUUGCGCACAGCAGCAGGAGGUCUCUGCGACGGACACGGCCCCCUUCCUACGACCAACGAAAGCAGACCUCGCGUAACAUGCGCCGUGCACGGUUGCAGUAGCAACAUCUAUUCCACGCCCCUACUUCAACCGGCUGGACGAGGCUCCAUGGCCUUCGUGUCCUAGUUUCUACUCUUUGGACAGGGUGUUACUAUGGCAGAGAAAAGGAGAGCUGAGAUCAAGGUGCCAUUUUGAAGCGAUACAAACCUUGCAUGUAUGCACAAUUUCAGGUCACAAUACUUUGAUAGUGAGGUAAAGCUACCUAUCGCCAACCUUUUGUGUUCAGAUCUGAGAGAAAUAACCAAGAGAAAGGAAGAAGGUAAGGUAUGUGCCCACUAAACUCCUAAGGAGGUAGGGCUGUUGUUUGGAGCAUUAGGCCACAGAAGCAAUGUCCAUAUUUAUGCUACUUGUAGCGAGGCGAAGAAGACACUUUACAAGCCCUCAGAGCGCUCUUUCCAUAUUUCCAUAUAAAAGGAUCAUUGUCAAGCAAAGAUGAGUUGACUGAAUUUUUGGCACAUUCAUUCUGACGACUUCGAUUGAUAUGAUUAUCUGCGAUGGAAUUGAUUAUGACAAUAAUGGCAACAUGGUCAGAAUACUUGCUGUUGUUGGACCAAGGGGAUGCUCUGAUGCUUCUGUUGUUUCGUUGCACAUCCUUGUUAGCUAUAUCUCUUAGUUUAUUGUGAAUUGCGACACUACUUUUCUCAUGAGAUAUAUUGGUCACAAUAAAAUGUUAAACAACUCUACACCUUAUUUAUAAAUUCUCAUCGCAGGUGCGAGUAGUCCAGAAAGGACCUAUUUGAGAUUGCUUGGAAGUCAUGCCAGAAAGAGACGAAUUCUAUGCCAAUCCUACUGUGUGUAUAUCUGAAACGACCAAAGAUGACCCCUCUGCUGCAGGAGCGAAGAAUUCCGAAGAUGAUCCCACUAGGACAGAAGAGGUGAUUGAUAUUGGGGCUGGCGAUGAUUCUUUUGUCAGAUGGAAGGAUUCUGAGCUAGAGGAGAUCCUGAUUAGUUGAGUUAUUUUGCAGCUCAAAGAAAUUAGCUAAGUUAUUUGCAUACCAGUGGUGUAUGUGGUAUACUAAAAAUUCAGAGAAUUUCCGAUUUUAUUUGGACGGAUUUUGGUGUAUGCAAGAACUUUACUUCUUAAUAUAGCGUACUGCAUAUUUUGGCCU